GUGAAACUGGUUAACAUACAUACACUAAAAUUAGAACGAUUCAGAGAAAAUGAGCGCGGCCCCUGCGUAAGGAUGACACAAAUUCGGGAAGUGUUCUAUAUUUAG